rnacentral:rRNA from 1 species
UAGUGGCGAACGGGUGAGUAACACGUGGGCAAUCUGCCCUGCACUCUGGGACAAGCCCUGGAAACGGGGUCUAAUACCGGAUAUGAGCUGGAACCGCAUGGUUCUGGUUGUAAAGCUCCGGCGGUGCAGGAUGAGCCCGCGGCCUAUCAGCUUGUUGGUGAGGUAAUGGCUCACCAAGGCGACGACGGGUAGCCGGCCUGAGAGGGCGACCGGCCACACUGGGACUGAGACACGGCCCAGACUCCUACGGGAGGCAGCAGUGGGGAAUAUUGCACAAUGGGCGAAAGCCUGAUGCAGCGACGCCGCGUGAGGGAUGACGGCCUUCGGGUUGUAAACCUCUUUCAGCAGGGAAGAAGCGAAAGUGACGGUACCUGCAGAAGAAGCGCCGGCUAACUACGUGCCAGCAGCCGCGGUAAUACGUAGGGCGCAAGCGUUGUCCGGAAUUAUUGGGCGUAAAGAGCUCGUAGGCGGCUUGUCACGUCGAUUGUGAAAGCCCGGGGCUUAACUCCGGGUCUGCAGUCGAUACGGGCUAGCUAGAGUGUGGUAGGGGAGAUCGGAAUUCCU